rnacentral:rRNA from 1 species
ACGGGGGGUGCGAGCGUUGUCCGGAAUCACUGGGCGUAAAGGGCGCGUAGGUGGUCUGAUAAGGGUGUGGUGAAAGCCCGGGGCUCAACCCCGGGUCGGCCGUGGCAACUGUCGAGCUGGAGCACUGUAGAGGCAGGUGGAAUUCCGGGUGUAGCGGUGGAAUGCGUAGAGAUCCGGAAGAACACCGGUGGCGAAGGCGGGUCUCUGGGCCGUAACUGACGCUGAGGAGCGAAAGCAUGGGGAGCAAACAGGA